AUUAGGUAGUAGGCGGGGUAGAGGCCCACCUAGCCGACGAUGGGUAGCCGGACUGAGAGGUCGAUCGGCCACAUUGGGACUGAGAUACGGCCCAGACUCCUACGGGAGGCAGCAGUGGGGAAUUUUGCGCAAUGGGGGAAACCCUGACGCAGCAACGCCGCGUGCGGGACGAAGGCCCUCGGGUCGUAAACCGCUUUCAGCAGGGAAGACUUUACGACGGUACCUGCAGAAGAAGCUCCGGCUAACUACGUGCCAGCAGCCGCGGUAAUACGUAGGGGGCGAGCGUUAUCCGGAUUCAUUGGGCGUAAAGCGCGCGUAGGCGGCCGCCUAAGCGGAACCUCUAACCCCGGGGCUCAACCUCGGGCCGGGUUCCGGACUGGGCGGCUCGAGUGCGGUAGAGGAGAGCGGAAUUCCCGGUGUAGCGGUGGAAUGCGCAGAUAUCGGGAAGAACACCGAUGGCGAAGGCAGCUCUCUGGGCCGUCACUGACGCUGAGGCGCGAAAGCUGGGGGAGCGAACAGGAUUAGAUACCCUGGUAGUCCCAGCCGUAAACGAUG
rnacentral:rRNA from 1 species